UGCAAAUCUGACCCAACUGCUUGUCUGACCUUCUCAGCCAAUACGGUUUCUUAGAAGAUUAAGUAUCAGUAUAACAUAGGGUCAAAUAAGCAAAGACGUUUGCAGAACAGCAGUCCUUGACACUCUCCUCUUGCUGCAUCUCUGAGGAACAUAUUACAGGAAGAUAUUGUUACAUAUAAGGAACUUUGUCUCUCCCUUAAGUCUUUAGGUGUAAAGUCUGUAAACAUUAUGUCUGACACAGAGGAUGUUGAGGUUGAGGGUGAGUUGAUUUUUUUCUUCCUUUUUUCUUGUUCUUUUUUUUCUUCUCAGUAAAAGGAGUAGCAUUGAUAUUUAUAUUAACAA